AUGAACCUUUGAGGGUUGAGCUGGCGUUUAUUCGCAUGUGCUUGCCCUCUCAUCCUUUAUACACCUGUGCACUUUUGAAGGGAGACAUUAGUAGACAUUCACUUGUCGAAGCGGUAUCUCCCUUUACACUACAUCACUCUAAUGAUUACUUUGAAUGUUGUUAACCGCUUAACAGCAUUUACCAUUUA
rnacentral:misc_RNA from 1 species